AAAUCAAUAGACACAAAGAGGAUUAUAGUUUUUUAGGCUCUGUAAAAUCAUCUAAAUUUGGAAUAUGAUUUUGACCUUCUAUAGUUAAUUUUUUCUAUUACCUGGCGUCGAUUUUCAAAUAGACUCUUUUGGUUUUUUAUUUAAGCCUAAAGGGGGGUUAUAUAUCAUAAUCCAAGAACCAUAUAUAUCAUAAUCCAAGAACAUGUAACCUAUUUGUAAGUGAAUGUCACAAAGAAAGUCAUUGGAUGUUAAUGUUUCUUUUGAAAGUGCAAUACUUUAAGGAAGUACUUCGACCUAGAAACAGUCUCAUAUUCUAUUGCCCGAGGAAGCAAUGUUGUUGCUGUUACCUUUUGGGAUUGAACAUGAGACAUGCAUAUUCCUUUAUUCUUUUGGUUUUUUAUUUAAACUAAGAAUCAGAGAAGACAAGUUGUUUUCUACCCAACUGCCUGUUGCUACAAGGAGUGGCUAGUGUUAGGUGUGACGAAGGAGAUUUUUCUGGAUGAUAAUCU
rnacentral:lncRNA from 1 species